rnacentral:ncRNA from 1 species
UCCGGGUCUGUGGUUGAAAGCCGAAGCCAGACGCGGGCAAAGCGGUCCACGUAAGCCGGCCAAAGCGCCGGUGAGCAUGGCGCGUUCUAGAUGUAAGACUGACCGCCUUUCUAAAAAUCUACGGCGAGAGAGGGCGAGUAGGGCGCAAGCGCGAUGAGCAGACCCUCCAGUCAGCGAGUGUGGGGUCAAAGACCAGGUCAGCCGGA